GCUCUGAAUCAAUACUAUCGUGGAUGUUCCUCUCCCAUGUCAACUUCAACUUCUUAAGUUUCUUUUUACCCUUCAAAUUGGCCUCCACGGCAUCUUUGGCUUCCUCAAUGUCCUGGAGAUUCCAGAUACAAAGUUCUCCUGCAAGAGCUUGAAGCUUCCCCAGUUCUUUAAUGCUAGACCAACUCUGUUUACUCAGAAAGAAAUCUGUUAACUUUUGAAGAUUUAUAAGCUUACCCAUUUCUGGUGGCAUCUCUUGCAGUUUUG
rnacentral:misc_RNA from 1 species